AGCAGCCGCGGUAAUUCCAGCUCCAAUAGCGUAUAUUAAAGUUGUUGCAGUUAAAAAGCUCGUAGUUGAAUUUCGGGGUUCUACCGUUGGUCGGGCUUUGUCUGUACUAGCGUGUAGAAUUUCUACCUUCUGGGGAACCAUUAUGUUAUUAAUUUAGCGUGGUGGGAAACCAGGACCUUUACCUUGAAAAAAUUAGAGUGUUCAAAGCAGGCUUAUGUCUGAAUACAUUAGCAUGGAAUAAUAGAAUAGGACGGUGGUCCCGUUUUGUUGGUUUCUGAAUCACCGUAAUGAUUAAUAGGGAUAGUUGGGGGCAUUAGUAUUCAAUUGUCAGAGGUGAAAUUCUUGGAUUUAUUGAAGACUAACUUCUGCGAAAGCAUUUGCCAAGGAUGUUUUCAUUAAUCAAGAACGAAAGUUAGGGGAUCGAAGACGAUCAGAUACCGUCGUAGUCUUAACCAUAAACUAUGCCGACUAGGGAUCGGACGAUGUUAACUUUUCUUGACUCG
rnacentral:rRNA from 1 species